rnacentral:rRNA from 1 species
CCUACGAGAGGCAGCAGUGAGGAAUAUUGGUCAAUGGCCGCGAGGCUGAACCAGCCAAGUCGCGUGAGGGAAGAAUGUCCUAUGGAUUGUAAACCUCUUUUGUCAGGGAGCAAAGUCACCCACGUGUUGGUGUUGGGUAGUACCUGAAGAAAAAGCAUCGGCUAACUCCGUGCCCGCAGCCGCGGUAAUACGGAGGAUGCGGGCGUUAUCCGGAUUUAUUGGGUUUAAAGGGAGCGUAGAUGGGUUGUUAAGGCAGUUGGGAAGGUUUGCGGCUCAAACGUAAAAUUGCAAUUGAUACUGGCAGUCUUGAGUACAGUUGAGGUAGGCGGAAUUCGUGGUGUAGCGGUGAAAUGCUUAGAUAUCACGAAGAACUCCGAUUGCGAAGGCAGCUUACUAAACUGCCACUGACAUUGAUGCUCGAAAGUGUGGGUAUCAAACAGGAUUAGAUACCCUAGUAGUC